UGCUCAGCUCACUGCAGAAGAGCAGAUUGCGCCAGCAAAGCAAAACGCUCCAGCCAAGCCGCUGACCUCUGCAGGAGUACAUCCUGCUCACUUCUCACCCCACCAGGUACCUCCGACGGCCAUAUGGAGGAACGGCGAAGGACACAAAUGCCAUGUGAACAACUAGCUUUCUAGGGAAGACUCCCUUCCUAUCCUUCCCAGCCCCAGCUCCAGCUGUUUAUUUUUCUCAGGCAGCGGGUCAGUUUCGCUCUCUAGUUGCUAUGCACAUAAGUGGGCUGAGUGCUGUCUGCUGCAGAGGUGCUCUUCUAUGGUUUCCGGCUAUGACUCCACCCACGCUGCCACUCACAGGAUGGAGGCCGAGCCCCCCAACUUUCCAGCCAGUUUUGCUAUAACAAGAUGGCACUGCCAUGAUGCCAUGUGGAAACGUACAGAGUCAGAAGACUGAAUUAGGCAAAGCGAUGUGUCGAGAACAGAUGUUUGCGGACAGAAAGUAAUGCUCUGGUCUAAUCAGGAGGGAUAUAAAGAGAAAAAAGAACCAGGAUGGUGUCUGCCACAAAA
rnacentral:lncRNA from 1 species